UUAAACAUGAGAGUUUGAUCCUGGCUCAGGAUGAACGCUGGCGGCGUGCUUAACACAUGCAAGUCGAACGAAGCACUUUAUUUGAUUUCUUCGGAAUGAAGAUUUUGUGACUGAGUGGCGGACGGGUGAGUAACGCGUGGGUAACCUGCCUCAUACAGGGGGAUAACAGUUGGAAACGACUGCUAAUACCGCAUAAGCGCACAGGGUCGCAUGACCUGGUGUGAAAAACUCCGGUGGUAUGAGAUGGACCCGCGUCUGAUUAGCCAGUUGGUGGGGUAACGGCCUACCAAAGCGACGAUCAG
rnacentral:rRNA from 1 species